CUCUCUCUUUGUGGUUGGCCAUGGGUUUAACUGUGAUGGGGGUGCACCAUGAGAAGCUGAAGCUGCCAGCAUGAUCUGAGAAUUCCUCCAUCCUCUCUAUCUUCUGGAUCUUGGAUGAAGUCAUGCAGAUCAUGUUGCAGCUUCAUCUACUGGUGGGAGCACCAAAAGAGCACAGAGAAAACUCAGCCUACUUUUUCUUUCUUUCUCCUUUUAACCUAAUAAUUAAGGUUUCAUGGGAAGUAAAUGGGAUGGUUGCUGAUCUUGACUCGCUUGGCAUGACGAAUCUGGGAAGUAAAUGAGAUGUUUGCUGAUCUUGAUUUCCUUACCAUGUUGGAUUCAUGGGUAUUGUGCUUGUUUCUAUUCUGAUACUGUUGAUACCUUGUGACAACAAAGAAGACCCCUAAUCAUGUAAGAGGAAUGGGAUGGCUUGGCUCUCAUUUUGUUGGUGCCUUUGAGAUCUCGACCUUGGAAGAGAACCAAGGCAUCCUACCCUCAGUUCGACUUGCUUUCCUCUCCUUGGAAGCUACAUGGGUGCCAAGGAAAUCCAGCUAUAUUAGCAUGAUUUGUUUGGUGCCCUAUUAGCUUUUAAUGCCCGAUUCACUGGUGGAGGACACAUGUUGAACUGUUCCCAUCCAUGUAGCGUUUGUCUCAUGCAGCCUCACCGUUUGGUUGCAUGGAGUCCAGAACCUGUGGAGCCUCAGUUGAGCUUAGCACCAAAAUGGUAUGGCUAUGUAUGUUCAUAUAUGACUGCAAAAGCUUCUCCCCAUGGCUCUUGUUAUGUUUAGUUCCAUGGCAGUGGCUUGGGCAUCUAAACACAAAAGGGAUGCUGAAAGGGAGAGAUGGCUGCAAGGAGUAAAAAGGAGUUGAUGCAAUUGAGGAAAGUGAUCUGUCUCUGAGAAUUGAAGUCCCAUUGUAAGGAAUUGCUGCCAUGAGACAUGCAGACCAUGAUCGGUUUGAAGUACACAGAGUUCAGAGACAAAACUUGCUGUAUAGAUUUAUCACACAGGUGAUGUCAGAUUGGAAAAUGAUUCAACUUCAAUUUUAUUUUGAUUGGAUAAUCUGUUCAUUCAUGGUAGCAAAUUCCAUUGAUCCAAACAACAAAAGAGUUCCAUGACUAGUGACAGUAUUAUACCAAAACAUCAUGCACUAAUUUGAGAGAUAAUGAACAAUCAAUGCUGUUUCUGAUAGUGACCAAUUAAGAUAAAUAAGAAUUUGCAUAGUUAAUUUGAUGAGAAAUCUGAAAUGGUUACUAUCUUUGAUUAUGAGAAAGGACUCUUAUGAUUGGGUAAUCAAGUCUGCUUCACUUAUUAUGCAUUUAUGAGCACUGCAAUCUGCAAUGAGUUGGUAGCUCCAUAAGAUGUAUUUUUCUUAUUGUUAAUAAGGAUAUACUUUCUUAAUGGUAAAUGAAAACAAAACAUUAGAUGUAGCAUUAACAGUAAAAUCAGUUGGAUCAUCAGAAAUUUGCACUCACAAAAGGAUAAGAUGAACCAAUUUGGGAUCUUAAAUUGAUAGAGGAAAUCCAAGAAAGACUGUUGAUAUAAUAUGUGGAAGAGAUGAUAUAAAACAAAGAUCUAAAUUUUCAAUGAGAAUUAAGUUCAGACUUCCAUGAACAUCAUAUCAAAAUUAAAAGAUCUGCAUGUUUUUGUUUGUUUGCUUGCUUUUAACUGAGUUUGUCGCGAAGUCAAUCAUGUGUAUCAAUCAUUCUUUGUUAGUAUAAGGUGUUGAUCGAACACAAGUUCUUCAUUCAACUCAGCAACAUGCACAAUGCUGUUUGUUCUUCAGAUUCUCCGACUACACUCCUUUUAGCUUCUUGACUGAAUUGAAAUUGUUCUUCUUUUAGUCUUCAUUGAGGUCUGGAAUAAUAUGAAGAAAAAGCUUUUCUUUCUUUUUGUGUGAAUGAGAUUGGCUAGCUAGGAUCCUAUUCAAUUAUUGAAUCGACCGUAUUCUGAUUAGGUUAGCAUUAUGGUCCACCCCAUUGACAGAAAGCUUUGUUCUCAUUUGAGAUGAAUGUUCAUCAUUGGAGCCCUGUGGUACUUAUUGCUUGCAGAUCAGGAUCAUCAUCAGCCACAGUGGAAGCUUUUUGGAUCAAAAUUUCAUGUUUUUUUGUAGCUUCAUGAAAUUGAUAAGCCCACAUAUCAUUGUGCCAAUGAAUGUAUUGUGUUCUUGCAGCAGAUGCAGCUUACACAAAACUAUAGCAAGAAAUGUUCUUGCAGCAGCAGAUACAUGUACUCUGAACCAGCAAAGAAGCAAUCUUACCAUUCUAAUAGUUACUUCGAUCCAUGAACAGUGAGUGCAGUAUUAGCAUAACUUGAUGAAACCAAAGCUACAUUUCAGCAGAGGAGGAAGCCAUGUCCAAACUGACGGACAAGAACUGCGACACAGAUCGAGAGAGGUGCUGUAGCCAUGGACCAACUUGUCAUGGAUUAUAGUUCCAGGUUGGUUGGUUGAUAGCAACUCCACAACCGAAAGAUCUUACGGAGGUGAUCCACAGGGACACGGAAAACUGUAGCUUGGAUUUUGCUUCACAGUGCCAAGUUGUUCCACCGGCAUCAUCCAAAGGAAUCAGAAACCAUGUCUGGCAUUCUUCCCUACCGUGGAAGGUGUAAUGAGAUCAUGUACUGCUCUCAACCCAAACGCUUCUUUCUAUACUUUGCACCGAGCAUUAUAUUCUAUACAUCACAAACUUUAUCU